rnacentral:lncRNA from 1 species
AUGUUUCUGGCGCCACCUGGCUCUCUGCUGCACCCCAGAAGUCAGAAUCUUUUGCUGUGGCCCCUGGGCUCCAAAUGUGUCUCCUCACCUCCCGGCUCACCCCAAAGUCACACUGGCUCCUCCCCAGCCCACCUGCCUCCAAAGGGGCUGGGAGGAGACCUGGCAGAAGGCGGCCUCGUGGGGGUGUUUGUUUGGCUCCCAGGGCGGCUCCACAGGACCCCUGAUCUGCAUUCGCCCCUCCUUUCCUGGAGAGAGCCCCAGCCCCCGCAGCUGCCCACGGAUGGGCCCAAGGGCCGGCUGCUGCCUGAGGAUGCUGGGGGUUGGGAUGACCCGGGGAGCACGUUCCAGUCCGCCUUCCCAGGGGCGGGGGCUGACAGGCUAACGGAAUGUGGCACGGAGUUGGGGGGGCGAGGGAUAUCCCUGCGUGCCAGUCACACCCGGCGGAGAUGCUGCCUGGCCUGACUGUCUGAGGAAAAGCGGCUCCGCCAUUCCCUAGAGGGCACCAUCCUCACUGCCUGGUUACACCCGGGGUGGCCACACUGUCUUGCACCAGGAGGCUGGUGGCACGGGGGUGUGAGGUGCGGGCCUGUGUAUACCAGGGUCUCACCCUGAAUCUGACCACACUGCUGUGAGCGGGGUCUCACCCUGUGUCUGACUACAGUGUCCAGAGGCGCGUCGGGGAAGGCCCAGGCUAGUUGUAACGCAGUCUGCCUGGUACGGGCGCCACUUCCCAAGUGGGCUUCCAUGCCCUCCUACUUCACCAGGGGGGAGAAGCAACACCAACUGUGCUGGCUGCGUGUGGUGGGGGGUAGGGAGCCGGGGGCGGGGGGAGAGGCAAGGACCCUUCUCAUCAGACAGGCCAGGAAGGUGGCCCUGCCCUGCCUCACACAGCAAGACCGGUGAGCCCAGCCAUCUUAUUCCUUUGCGGGUUUCCUUUCAUGGGUCUGCACAGCCCCGAACCAUGGGCUGGCAGUGGCCACUCCCCCAGCAGUGGAGAAGCCCACCAGCCGGCCUCUCCGCACAUUUGCUUCCAAACGCCUGCCUCGAGGGAGGGGCGCUUAUCCCACCCAGGCCAAUGACUCAGCAGGAAUCCCGCGCUUUGACUGACCUCUGACCUCUGACCAAGCCUCCAGGGCUCUCAGGACACUAGUGGGCUGCCUAACAAGGGGCCUUCACCUGCUAGUCUUUCCCAGCGCAGGUGGGGACUUUCUAAGUGACAGGGAGGAGGACGCUCUGGGGUCAGGGCGCGCGGCGGUGAACCCUGCACCAAGCACACAGAGGCGAUCGUUAGGCAGCCUGGAGGAUCAGAGGGUGUGGAUUCCGGAAGAGGGUUCAAGGGCUGGAAGCAGUGGGCUGGAGCCCAUUGGUGCACACAGCGGGGCCAAAGGGGCUUACCGCACGCCAGAGUUAGGCUGCCCGGGCCAGGCGUCCUGUCCACCCACUCCAGCCCAGGGAUCUGGGC